GGCCCCAUCGUCUAGCGGUUAGGACGGGAGCCUCUCACGUUCCAAACGGGAGUUCGAUUCUCCCUGGGGUCACCA
rnacentral:tRNA from 1 species